AGAGUUUGAUCCUGGCUCAGAUUGAACGCUGGCGGCAUGCCUUACACAUGCAAGUCGAACGGCAGCACGGGGGCAACCCUGGUGGCGAGUGGCGAACGGGUGAGUAAUACAUCGGAACGUGUCCUGGAGUGGGGGAUAGCCCGGCGAAAGCCGGAUUAAUACCGCAUACGCUCUGAGGAGGAAAGGGGGGGAUCUUCGGACCUCUCGCUCAAGGGGCGGCCGAUGGCAGAUUAGGUAGUUGGUGGGGUAAAGGCCUACCAAGCCGACGAUCUGUAGCUGGUCUGAGAGGACGACCAGCCACACUGGGACUGAGACACGGCCCAGACUCCUACGGGAGGCAGCAGUGGGGAAUUUUGGACAAUGGGCGCAAGCCUGAUCCAGCAAUGCCGCCUGUGUGAAGAAGGCCUUCGGGUUGUAAAGCACUUUUGUCCGGAAAGAAAACCUCUGCCCGAAUACGGCGGGGGGCUGACGGUACCGGAAGAAUAAGCACCGGCUAACUACGUGCCAGCAGCCGCGGUAAUACGUAGGGUGCGAGCGUUAAUCGGAAUUACUGGGCGUAAAGCGUGCGCAGGCGGUUCGUUAAGACAGAUGUGAAAUCCCCGGGCUUAACCUGGGAACUGCAUUUGUGACUGGCGGGCUAGAGUAUGGCAGAGGGGGGUAGAAUUCCACGUGUAGCAGUGAAAUGCGUAGAGAUGUGGAGGAAUACCGAUGGCGAAGGCAGCCCCCUGGGCCAAUACUGACGCUCAUGCACGAAAGCGUGGGGAGCAAACAGGAUUAGAUACCCUGGUAGUCCACGCCCUAAACGAUGUCAACUAGUUGUCGGGUCUUCAUUGACUUGGUAACGUAGCUAACGCGUGAAGUUGACCGCCUGGGGAGUACGGUCGCAAGAUUAAAACUCAAAGGAAUUGACGGGGACCCGCACAAGCGGUGGAUGAUGUGG
rnacentral:rRNA from 1 species